rnacentral:rRNA from 1 species
GACGAACGCUGGCGGCGUGCUUAACACAUGCAAGUCGUACGGUAAGGCCCUUUCGGGGGUACACGAGUGGCGAACGGGUGCGUAACACGUGAGUAACCUGCCCACAACUUUGGGAUAACGCUAGGAAACUGGUGCUAAUACUGGAUAUGUGCUCCUGCUGCAUGGUGGGGGUUGGAAAGCUCCGGCGGUUGUGGAUGGACUCGCGGCCUAUCAGCUUGUUGGUGGGGUAGUGGCCUACCAAGGCGGCGACGGGUAGCCGGCCUGAGAGGGUGACCGGCCACAUUGGGACUGAGAUAAGGCCCAGACUCCGACGGGAGGCAGAAGGGGGGAAGAUUGCACAAGGGGCGCAAGCCUGAUGCAGCAACGCCGCGUGCGGGAUGACGGCCUUCGGGUUGAAAACCGCUUUCAGCAGGGACGAAGCUUUUUGUGACGGUACCUGCAGAAGAAGCACCGGCUAACUACGUG